CGUAGGGGCAAGCGUUGUCCGGAUUUAUUGGGCGUAAAGCGCUCGCAGGCGGCUCGAUGCGUCGUGCGUGAAACACCCCGGCUCAACUGGGGAGGGUCGUGCGAUACGGUCGGGCUUGAGGCCAGUAGGGGGAUGCGGAAUUCCGGGUGUAGUGGUGGAAUGCGUAGAGAUCCGGAGGAACACCAGCGGCGAAGGCGGCAUCCUGGACUGGUACUGACGCUCAUGAGCGAAAGCGUGGGGAGCGAUCCGGAUUAGAUACCCGGGUAGUCCACGCCGUAAACGAUAAGAACUAGGUGUCGGGGGUAUCGACCCCCUCGGUGCCGCAGCUAACGCGCUAAGUUCUCCGCCGUGGGGACUACGGCCGCAAGGCUA
rnacentral:rRNA from 1 species